GAUGAACGCUAGCGGCAGGCUUAAUACAUGCAAGUCGAGGGGCGGCAUGGUGUAGCAAUACACUGAUGGCGACCGGCAAACGGGUGCGGAACACGUACAGAACCUUCCUUCGAGCGGGGAAUAGCCCAGAGAAAUUUGGAUUAAUACCCCAUAGUAUAUUGGAGUGGCAUCACUUUGAUAUUAAAGAUUUAUCACUUGAAGAUGGCUGUGCGGCUGAUUAGGUAGUUGGCGGGGUAACGGCCCACCAAGCCUACGAUCAGUAACUGGUGUGAGAGAAAGACCGGUCACACGGGCACUGAGACACGGGCCCGACUCCUACGGGAGGCAGCAGUAAGGAAUAUUGGUCAAUGGACGAAAGUCUGAACCAGCCAUGCCGCGUGGAGGAUGAAGGUCCUCUGGAUUGUAAACUUCUUUUAUAUGGGACGAAAAAAGGCUUUUCUAAGUCGUCUGACGGUACCAUAUGGAUAAGCACCGGCUAACUCCGUGCCAGCCGCCGCAGUAACAC
rnacentral:rRNA from 1 species